GAUGAACGCUGGCGGCGUGCCUAAUACAUGCAAGUCGAGCGAACGGACGAGAAGCUUGCUUUUCUGAUGUUAGCGGCGGACGGGUGAGUAACACGUGGAUAACCUACCUAUAAGACUGGGAUAACUUCGGGAAACCGGAGCUAAAACCGGAUAAUAAUUUUAACCGCAUGGUUCAAAAGUGAAAGACGGUCUUGCUGUCACUUAUAGAUUGAUCCGCGCUGCAUUAGCUAGUUGGUAAGGUAACGGCUUACCAAGGCAACGAUGCAUAGCCGACCUGAGAGGGUGAUCGGCCACACUGGAACUGAGACACGGUCCAGACUCCUACGGGAGGCAGCAGUAGGGAAUCUUCCGCAAUGGGCGAAAGCCUGACGGAGCAACGCCGCGUGAGUGAUGAAGGUCUUCGGAUCGUAAAACUCUGUUAUUAGGGAAGAACAUAUGUGUAAGUAACUGUGCACAUCUUGACGGUACCUAAUCAGAAAGCCACGGCUAACUACGUG
rnacentral:rRNA from 1 species